CCUACGGGAGGCAGCAGUAGGGAAUCUUCCACAAUGGACGAAAGUCUGAUGGAGCAACGCCGCGUGAGUGAAGAAGGGUUUCGGCUCGUAAAGCUCUGUUGGUAGGGAAGAAAGAUAGAGGUAGUAACUGGCCUUUAUUUGACGGUAAUUACUUAGAAAGUCACGGCUAACUACGUGCCAGCAGCCGCGGUAAUACGUAGGUGGCAAGCGUUGUCCGGUUGUAUUGGGCGUAAAGCGAGUGCAGGCGGUUCAAUAAGUCUGAUGUGAAAGCGUUCGGCUCAACCGGGGAAUUGCAUCAGAAACUGGUGAACUUGAGUGCAGAAGAGGAGAGUGGAACUCCAUGUGUAGCGGUGGAAUGCGUAGAUAUAUGGAAGAACACCAGUGGCGAAGGCGGCUCUCUGGUCUGCAACUGACGCUGAGGCUCGAAAGCAUGGGUAGCGAACAGGAUUAGAUACCCGUGUAGUC
rnacentral:rRNA from 1 species